rnacentral:tRNA from 1 species
UCUGGUGUAGUUCAGCUGGUAGAACGCUUGACCGUUAAUCAAGAUGUCGCAGGUCCGACUCCUGCCGCCAGAG